rnacentral:rRNA from 1 species
AAAGGCUCCGGCGCCUCAGCAUGGGUCUGCGGCCUAUCAGGGUAGUAGUGGGUGUAAAGUACCUACUAGCCUACGACGGGUACGGGUUGUGAGAGCAAGAGCCCGGAGAUGGAUUCUGAGACAUGAAUCCAGGCCCUACGGGGUGCAGCAGGCGCGAAAACUUUACAAUGCGGGCAACCGCGAUAAGGGGACCUCGAGUGCUGGGUUACAAACCUGGCUGUUGGGCUGCCUAAAAAGCAGUCUAUAGCAAGGGCCGGGCAAGACCG